GCAGCAGCAAAGCACGCCGAGCUGGGUGAGGAGAGGAGACAGCCCAGGUGGCCUAGGGAUGCCGGGGCUCUGAGGAAGAUGCAGAUCUUGAAGGCUGAGAAGUCAGGAAUUUCUGGUGGACAAGGAAUGAAGAAGGGAGUCAUGGAUUCAACGAAUGUUUAUUGAGCACCUACUGUGUGCCAGGUAGUUCCAGAGACCUGGAGAAGAAGGGCUGGGGCAGUCUGAAGUUGUCCCAGCUCAAGGUCUCUUCCCAAAACAAGUCCUGCAAGGGGCUGGGGACCCCUGCCUUGGAGAGUGGAAGGUCUGGUUACAGAAAGCAGAGACCUGUAGAAG